UCCUCUCGCUGUGAGCUGGAGAUUACUUCUAACUUGUAGGUUUGAGAAAAGAUGUAAACGGAACCCCAAGAAGCCGAGUGAGACGAAUGGCGAGCUUCACAAUGAGUAGGAAAUGCCGUCGGUCUAAUGGUGGUUGGGUGGAUCGUCGCCCGCAUCGCGUCUCAGUUGCCCAGACGUCCAGCAUAGCAACGGGAGGGUCGGAACUCAGUCCGACGUGUGUCCACCAAGCCAUCAACUCCAGAAUCAAGUUUACAGUCGCCACCACCUUAAAACUUCAGGGCUCAGCCCUCUUAUCAAUGCCGCAAAAGAGUCUGCUGGACCGGGUGGGAAAGAGGAAGGCCCGGCUGCCGCCUUGGCCUCUUGCGGUAUACCACCGAGCAGUAAAAUCAAGAUUAUGUGUUCUAGAUAGCUUUUCUGUUGCUUUGAUAAAACUGAACAAAGCAGUUUGGAAGAGGAAGUGUUUACUGGGCUUAUCACCACGGUUUCGGGAAUUCCUGGGAAGAAUUCAAACAAACCGUAGACUAAAGCUGCCUCCUGGCUUGGGCUCAGCUGUCCUUGUGCUCAGUUCACGCCUGCGUGAGAAUGGACAGGCCACAAGGGAUGAGCCCUAUUAAGUCAAUUAAUUAGCAAGCAAUCCCUUUUCCCAAGUGACUGCGAGGAUAGUAUGAAAUUCUUAGUUGGUUCACAAGCUAAUAGGGUUUCCUAGGGCUUCAUCCAUCCUUAGUUUGCAACAGUUCCCAACCCCAAUAAACCCAUAUAAAAACCACACAAUCCAGUUAUAAAUAUAAGCUAUGUACCUAGACUGGACAGCUCUAGCACUGUGCUAACUUAUUCCCCAGCUGCGAGACCCUUUGCUAUUUGCAGUUUCUCCUGGCCACGUGGUUCUGCUCCUCCUCUUCUUCAGUCCUCUCCCCUUCUCCUCCUCUCUACCUGUCCCUACUCUCCAAGACCUCCCACCUCUCCCCUCCCCUGCCCAAUUACAGGCCUCAGCCUUUAUUGACCAGUUAAAAUGGGGAAGAGGAUGCCCUCAAUAACCUCCCCUUUCCCUCAUCCCAGUUUCCUUUCCAGAUUAACCCUUUAGCUCCUGACAUUCUCUCCCUUUUCUACCAUCCACUCCCACUACAAAAUGUUUUUUAAGAGAGGAUACAGAGCCAAAUACAGUAGAAUAAUAAUUACACAAAAAUAGAACCUGGUGUGGUAGCUCACACAUUUUAUCCCAGUACUGGGAGGCAGAAGCAGAUGGACCACUAUGAGUUUGAGUUUGAGACUAGCCUGGUCUAUACAAUGUGUUACAGACCAAGCAGGAUUAUAUAGUAAGACCCUGUUAAAGAAGAAAAAGUGCAUAUGCACAGAGAUAAACCCAAGAGAUGAAACAGAAUGUUAGCAAUGGCUCUCUUAAAGGGAUGUGAGAUUAUGGGUUACUACAAUUUUAUUAUCCAUAGUUUCUGUGUUUUAUAAUAGUCUACAUCCAAUAUGUGUUAUUUUGGUAAUUGUCUUAAUGAUUUAAUAAAUGUCAUGAAAAUGAGAAUACUUAUAUGUUUAACAAGAUUUAAUAUAAAGCACUGAUUCUUUU
ensembl:antisense 1700055D18Rik RIKEN cDNA 1700055D18 gene